GCCAAAUAACUACGAGUAAAAACUUAAAAUUUAAAAGACUUGACGGUACCUCACAACACCCUAGAGGAGCCUGUCCAAUAACCGAUACUCCACGAUCAACCCAACCCCAACUCGCCAAACAGUCUAUAUACCGCCGUCGCCAGCCUACCUUAUGAAAGAAACAAAGUAAGCAAAAUAGCCACACACUAAAACGACAGGUCGAGGUGUAACUUAUGUAGGGGACAAAGAUGGGCUACAUUUUCUAACACAGAAAAUACGAAUAAACUAUGAAAAAGAAACUGAAGGCGGAUUUAGCAGUAUACAAAGGACAUAAUACUUAAUAGAAACUAAUGCAAUGAGGUGCGUACACACCGCCCGUCAUCCCUGUAA
rnacentral:rRNA from 1 species